UACAGAGGGUGCGAGCGUUAAUCGGAAUUACUGGGCGUAAAGCGUGCGUAGACGGUUAUGUAAGUUAGGUGUGAAAGCCCGGGGCUCAACCUGGGAAUUGCAUUUAAGACUGCAUAGCUAGGGUGCGGAAGAGGGAAGCGGAAUUUCCGGUGUAGCGGUGAAAUGCGUAGAUAUCGGAAGGAACAUCAGUGGCGAAAGCGGCUUCCUGGUCCAGCACCGACGUUCAGGCACGAAAGCGUGGGGAGCAAACAGG
rnacentral:rRNA from 1 species